GGGAGAAAGAUGUGUCCGUGUGGGCCUGGGGUAUGAUGAGGAAUGGACACUGGAAUCCACAAUGUAAAGUAGAUAAUAAAAAAGAAUUGUGGGAUUAACUCUCUUCCUAAAGGAAUGAGAACAGCAAACCUGUCGUAGUCGUGGAAGUUAUGUUUUCAAACAAUCUUUAAUUUGAUGGGAUUAAAUAGAAAGAAAAUGGAAUUGUGAAAUUUGCAGGAAAGUGGAUAUUCCUCAAAAGUAUAAGCUAAAAGAAUUCAAACUCAGACAGAAAGCCCUGCACAUCCCCUUGGAUGCGAGUUCCAGUGUGAUGGAUACAUGUUCACGCGGGUCCUGCAGGUGAUGAGAAGGGGAGAACAGAGGCAAAGGGACAUGUCAAAGACCAAAGCAUUCGUGAAGUUGAGGGUGAAUGAAAGAGAAGUAAAAAGGAAAAGAAAGACAUGACGGCUAUACGUACGCUGGAGGAGAAAGUUUGUCAUAGAUAUGUAUACCCAGAGGCAGACACACCAGGGAAGGAAAGGGAGAGAGAAGAGAGGGGAACCAGCUGCAGCAGCCAGAGACCGAAGAUACAAAAAGCAUGCGUAACCAAAAGAGCUAUAGUUACAGUCCUGGGUGACCACACUGGCUCCCUGAAGAACUUUGGAGGCCACAUUCAGAGCCCAGUGAGGACGGCCCCGGAAGACAUAUCAUCUCUUAGGAGCUUUGUGCUUUCACCCACCAAUGGCAAAGAUGGUCCUGACACACCUUGGUCAUGUUUCUGAGGAAAGGAAAA
rnacentral:lncRNA from 1 species